GUGCUAUAUUCAGCAGCACAUAUACUAAAAUUGGAAUGAUACAGAGAAGAUUAGCAUGGCCCCUCAACAAGGAUGACAUGCAAAUUUUUGAAGCAUGUCAUAUUUUC